UGGGGAAUAUUGCACAAUGGGGGAAACCCUGAUGCAGCGACGCCGCGUGAACGAAGAAGGUAUUCGUAUCGUAAAGUUCUGUCCUAUGGGAAGAUAAUGACAGUACCAUAGAAGAAAGCUCCGGCUAACUACGUGCCAGCAGCCGCGGUAAUACGUAGGGGGCUAGCGUUGUCCGGAAUCACUGGGCGUAAAGGGUUCGCAGGCGGAAAUGCAAGUCAGGUGUAAAAGGCAGUAGCUUAACUACUGUAAGCAUUUGAAACUGCAUAUCUUGAGAAGAGUAGAGGUAAGUGGAAUUUUUAGUGUAGCGGUGAAAUGCGUAGAUAUUAAAAAGAAUACCGGUGGCGAAGGCGACUUACUGGGCUCAUUCUGACGCUGAGGAACGAAAGCGUGGGUAGCAAACAGG
rnacentral:rRNA from 1 species